UAAACUUUAAUGUAUGGCGUAAUUUUUGUGCUAAAUUAAACAAACCAAAAUUUUAGUCUAUAUAGAAUCAAAAUUUGAACUGUCAAGAAGAUUAAGAAACUAUAUUGUACAUAGUAAAUCGCUCAUAAUCGUGUAAACAUCUAUACGAGAAUCGACUUCGUCAUGGUCGACAUUAAAUAAAAUCCUAAAAGGUUUUCGCGAGAAGAAUUGUAGUGUUUGUAAUAAAAUUGUCUUUAUUUAAGUCUGCACGACUAUUUU